rnacentral:lncRNA from 1 species
GAGUUCACGAUGAUAGGCCGCAAGCCAAAUAUGCCCGGAAUCCUCCAUAUGGAGAAGAUGUAAAAUGGUUGCUUCGAAUAUCCAAGAAUUUGAGCACUCAUCAUCUUCACCACUUCUGUGUGUGUGCAUUGAAUUCGAUUGUAAGUCCUUUUGUGCUGCAUGAUGUUGCCAUCGAGGCCGCUCAACAUUUGUCUCGGAAUAAUCCGGGAUUAGUGAUGCAACAUUUACGCACUGCCUUAUUGCCGUUGGUUAGCAAGUGUCAACAAAUGUAUAUACAGUGCAUGCACCAAAAGCUAUACCAC